rnacentral:rRNA from 1 species
UCGGGAAUCUUGGGCAAUGGGCGAAAGCCUGACCCAGCGACGCCGCGUGGAGGAUGAAGCCCUUCGGGGUGUAAACUCCUUUUAGUGGGGACGAACGCAGACGGUACCCACAGAAAAAGCCCCGGCUAACUACGUGCCAGCAGCCGCGGUAACACGUAGGGGGCGAGCGUUGCCCGAAUUUACUGGGCGUAAAGCGCACGUAGGCGGCUCCGUAAGUCUGGUGUGAA